AUUGAACGCUGGCGGCAGGCCUAACACAUGCAAGUCGAGCGGAUGAGUGGAGCUUGCUCCAUGAUUCAGCGGCGGACGGGUGAGUAAUGCCUAGGAAUCUGCCUGGUAGUGGGGGACAACGUUUCGAAAGGAACACUAAUACCGCAUACGUCCUACGGGAGAAAGUGGGGGAUCUUCGGACCUCACGCUAUCAGAUGAGCCUAGGUCGGAUUAGCUAGUUGGUGAGGUAAAGGCUCACCAAGGCGACGAUCCGUAACUGGUCUGAGAGGAUGAUCAGUCACACUGGAACUGAGACACGGUCCAGACUCCUACGGGAGGCAGCAGUGGGGAAUAUUGGACAAUGGGCGAAAGCCUGAUCCAGCCAUGCCGCGUGUGUGAAGAAGGUCUCCGGAUUGUAAAGCACUUUAAGUUGGGAGGAAGGGCAGUAAGUUAAUACCUUGCUGUUUUGACGUUACCAACAGAAUAAGCACCGGCUAACUUCGUGCCAGCCGCCGCCGUAAUAC
rnacentral:rRNA from 1 species